rnacentral:tRNA from 1 species
GUUGUAGUAGCUUAAUAUUUAAAGCACUGGUCUUGUAAACCAGAGAAUGAGAGCUCAUACCCCUCCUAAAACA